rnacentral:misc_RNA from 1 species
UUUUGUCUCCACCAUUGAAGACAUAUUGCAACAGUGGGGCCUCACUGCAUCCACUUAUUCAGCAGAUUCUGGUUAUUGGCCACAGCAUAGGAAGUCAGAGAAGCUCUCUUAUGUUGGACAUAAUUUCAUUGUUAGCCUCCACGUGUCUGGAGAGAAGAAACGAGCGAUAGCCAAACAAUGAGGUGAUUGGUGGUAGUGGGUGUGGUUUAUAAUGGAUGUGGUUUGCUAUAGAUCAGGAUUGGCCUGAUGCUAUGGUACAUAUGAUGGAUUCAUCAAGUGAUUUCCCUCCAAGAGCUCAUCAUCAUAUCUCUAGAUGGUAUGGUGUUGAUCAGUUUAUAUUGAUAUCUCCUGAUGAGAAGAGUCAUGCAAUAUCAAGUGAAGCUCAGUCCAAACUAUUACUCAGUUCAAUAUCUCUGGCUGUAGCUAACACUGGAUGAUACAGAAGAAUUGGUGUCACAUGUUUAGCGGACAGUGUGAGGGGUAUGGUCUUCGUACGUGUUUUGAAAUGAUACAUUUGAGACAUAUUCCACCUCACUUUAGUCACCUCUCAGGACUACUGAACUUAUUCCGAUCAAAACUGAAUGGUGUGAAUGUUAAUCCUCCUAAUAUUAAUAUUGCUGCCAGACUAACAUAUUGUCUAAGACACUGGAAUGCGGAGGAUUGACCAGUGGGUCCACUCUCAUCUGGUGAUGGGAGUGAUUCUUUCCUUACCCUGCCAGUAGGAGCAAGUUCUGAUCCUAUACAG